rnacentral:lncRNA from 1 species
CCCCAAUAAUUCAUUUUUUGAUGAAAUCAAACAUAGUUUAAUUUUGGACCCUUUUGGCCCCUAAUUCCUAAACUGUUGGGACCAAAACUCCCAAAAUCCAUCCCAACCUUCCUUUGUAGUCAUAAACCCUGUGUUGAAAUUUCAUAGAUUUCUGUUUACUUAUACUAAAGUUAUUGUGCGAAAACCAAGAAAAAUGCUUAUUUUGGGCCCUUUUUGGCCCCUAAUUACUAAACUGUUGGGACCAAAAUUCCCAAUAUCAAUCCCAACCUUCCUUUUAUGGUCAUAAACCUUGUGUUUAAAUUUCAUAGAUUUCUAUUUACUUAUACUAAAGUUAUAGUGCGAAAACCAAAUGUCUUCGGACGACGACGACGACGACGCCAACGUCAUACCAAUAUACGACCAAAAAAUUUUCAAUUUUUGCGGUCGUAUAAAAAU